rnacentral:piRNA from 1 species
GGCAAAUCGCAGAACUGGAGAGU